UGAGACACGAAUCCAGGCCCUACGGGGUGCAGCAGGCGCGAAAACUUUACAAUGCCGGCAACGGCGAUAAGGGGACCUCGAGUGCCAGGUUACAAAUCUGGCUGUCGUGAUGCCUAAAAAGCAUUGCAUAGCAAGGGCCGGGCAAGACCGGUGCCAGCCGCCGCGGUAACACCGGCGGCUCGAGUGGUAACCGUUAUUAUUGGGUCUAAAGGGUCUGUAGCCGGCCGGAUAAGUCUCUUGAGAAAUCCAGCAGCUCAACUGUUGGGCUUUCAGGAGAUACUGUUCGGCUCGAGGCCGGGAGAGGUGAGAGGUACUUCAGGGGUAGGGGUGAAAUCUUGUAAUCCUUGAAGGACCACCAGUGGCGAAGGCGUCUCACCAGAACGGACCUGACGGCAAGGGACGAAAGCUAGGGGCACGAACCGGAUUAGAUACCCGGGUAGUCCUAGCCGUAAACGAUACUCGCUAGGUGUCGGCCACGGUGCGACCGUUGUCGGUGCCGUAGGGAAGCCGUGAAGCGAGC
rnacentral:rRNA from 1 species